rnacentral:rRNA from 1 species
GAUGAACGCUGGCGGCGUGCCUAAUACAUGCAAGUCGAGCGAACAGACGAGGAGCUUGCUCCUCUGACGUUAGCGGCGGACGGGUGAGUAACACGUGGAUAACCUACCUAUAAGACUGGGAUAACUUCGGGAAACCGGAUCUAAUACCGGAUAAUAUAUUGAACCGCAUGGUUCAAUAGUGAAAGACGGUUUUGCUGUCACUUAUAGAUGGAUCCGCGCCGCAUUAGCUAGUUGGUAAGGUAACGGCUUACCAAGGCAACGAUGCGUAGCCGACCUGAGAGGGUGAUCGGCCACACUGGAACUGAGACACGGUCCAGACUACUACGGGAGGCAGCAGUAGGGAGUCUUCCGCAAUGGGCGAAAGCCUGACGGAGCAACGCCGCGUGAGUGAUGAAGGUCUUCGGAUCGUAAAACUCUGUUAUUAGGGAAGAACAAAUGUGUAAGUAACUAUGCACGUCUUGACGGUACCUAAUCAGAAAGCCACGGCUAACUACGUG